rnacentral:lncRNA from 1 species
AGGGGGCAGGCCUGCUUUCCUGUCUCCUGCCACCACACAGUCUCUGAAGUGUGUGAAGAAGAGAGGAAGAGACAAUUAACACUCAGCACCAAUCUGCAUUUCCUUUUUAGCUGCCAUUUACACGCUGCUCAGGUUUUGAAAACCAGCAUUUCAUGCUACUCCCUAGAGAGCCAGCACCAGCUUCAGCAGGAUCCAUCUGCACAGCACUCACAUUGCUGAAAUCUUCAGCCAACCCAGAAUUCAUUUAUUUAUUUUUUGAAAAAAAAUGAGAGAGAGGAAGUGAGAGAGUACGAGUGAGAGAGCAAGCAAGCGGGUGAAAAUAAUAGAUUAGAAUCUGGUAAUAUUUAAUGCGCACGCUUGACCAAUCCCUGCGCUGGUCCAGGCAGGGGUGAGUCAGUGGAGUUUUUCUUUGAUCAUCUUCUAGAUUAGUGUGAGCAGCGAGCGAAUGAGCAAGAGCGUGUGACAACAGAGGAUGACAGGCUGUGAGGUUCGAAGCAGGAAGGACACACUCCAUAAGUCUCGGCACUGCUCAUCAGCCCAUGUGUCAGCACGCUCUUGCUGAUGGGAGCAGCGGGGAGAAACGCCAUACUGGGAAGUCACUGCUGGUGUGGGACAAGUUACAAGAUGCUUCUGGGGGAGGAAAAUGUGUAUCAUCAACUCCUCAGGACAGUGAAGCCUGCUCAGUCUAGACUUACAUGAGAGACUACUCAAUGACUCUCACAGAAAAGAGAUCUUCCCAAGGUGACAUCUUCUCCUCCUAAGCCAAUAAGGUCAUCUUACUCACAGUCCACUUCCAGGAACUGACCCCAAAUGGACAGAAUCUACUUAUAUCAUGGCACAGCUGUCAACUUCUCUUGCUAAAGAAGAGAAUAACGCUCACAAAAUUGCCCCAGAUGGCGGUGCAACAUUUUUGGGCCAAGUACUACAACUGAAAAGCAUGAACAGAGUUUUACCAGCGGGUUACAGCUCUUGUUUAACUUCUAGAAAACUAGUGACAUGCUCUUGGAGAAGCCCCUCUUACAGAAGGCCAAAGAAGCUGAGAAAGCACAGAGGAAAUAAU